UUUGUUGUAUUUUUUCGGAGU
rnacentral:piRNA from 1 species